rnacentral:rRNA from 1 species
AUUGAACGCUGGCGGCAUGCCUUACACAUGCAAGUCGAACGGCAGCACGGGGCAACCUGGUGGCGAGUGGCGAACGGGUGAGUAAUGCAUCGGAACGUACCUUUCAGUGGGGGAUAACGUAGCGAAAGUUACGCUAAUACCGCAUACGCUGUGAGCAAGAAAGCAGGGGAUCGCAAGACCUUGCGCUGAUUGAGCGGCCGAUGUCAGAUUAGCUAGUUGGUGAGGUAAAGGCUCACCAAGGCGACGAUCUGUAGCGGGUCUGAGAGGAUGAUCCGCCACACUGGAACUGAGACACGGUCCAGACUCCUACGGGAGGCAGCAGUGGGGAAUUUUGGACAAUGGGGGCAACCCUGAUCCAGCCAUUCCGCGUGAGUGAAGAAGGCCUUCGGGUUGUAAAGCUCUUUCGGCAGGGACGAAACGGCCAUUACUAAUACUAGUGGUCAAUGACGGUACCUGAAGAAGAAGCACCGGCUAACUACGUGCCAGCCGCCGCGGUAAGAC